UACGUAGGGUGCGAGCGUUGCCCGGAUUUAUUGGGCGUAAAGGGCGCGUAGGCGGCCACGCACGUCCGUUGUGAAAUCGCCCGGCUCAACUGGGCGAGGUCGGCGGAUACGGCGUGGCUGGAGCAAGCUAGGGGGCAAUGGAAUUCCCGGUGUAGUGGUGGAAUGCGUAGAUAUCGGGAGGAACACCAGUGGCGAAGGCGGUUGCCUGGAGCUUUGCUGACGCUGAGGCGCGAAAGCAAGGGGAGCAAACAGG
rnacentral:rRNA from 1 species